rnacentral:rRNA from 1 species
CCUACGGGCGGCAGCAGUGGGGAAUUUUGGACAAUGGGGGCAACCCUGAUCCAGCCAUUCCGCGUGAGUGAAGAAGGCCUUCGGGUUGUAAAGCUCUUUCGGCAGGAACGAAACGGCGGGCUCUAACAUAGCCUGUCAAUGACGGUACCUGAAGAAGAAGCACCGGCUAACUACGUGCCAGCAGCCGCGGUAAUACGUAGGGGGCGAGCGUUAAUCGGAAUUACUGGACGUAAAGCGGUAAGACGGAUGUGAAAUCCCCGGGCUUAACCUGGGAACUGCGUUUGUGACUGCAAGGCUCGAGUGUGGCAGAGGGGGGUGGAAUUCCACGUGUAGCAGUGAAAUGCGUAGAGAUGUGGAGGAACACCGAUGGCGAAGGCAGCCCCCUGGGUCAACACUGACGCUCAUGCACGAAAGCGUGGGUAGCAAACAGGAUUAGAUACCCCGGUAGUC